rnacentral:rRNA from 1 species
GUCUGAUGGAGCACGCCGCGUGAGUGAAGAAGGGUUUCGGCUCGUAAAACUCUGUUGUUAAAGAAGAACAUAUCUGAGAGUAACUGUUCAGGUAUUGACGGUAUUUAACCAGAAAGCCACGGCUAACUACGUGCCAGCAGCCGCGGUAAUA